rnacentral:rRNA from 1 species
GACGAACGCUGGCGGCGUGCCUAAUACAUGCAAGUCGAGCGGAAGUUGGAGAGCUUGCUCUUCAACUUUAGCGGCGGACGGGUGAGUAACACGUGGGCAACCUGCCCUGCAGAUCGGGAUAACUCCGGGAAACCGGUGCUAAUACCGAAUAGUUUUCGCCACCUCCUGGUGGCGUACGGAAAGACGGUUUCGGCUGUCACUGCAGGAUGGGCCCGCGGCGCAUUAGCUAGUUGGUGGGGUAACGGCCCACCAAGGCGACGAUGCGUAGCCGACCGGAGAGGGUGAUCGGCCACACUGGGACUGAGACACGGCCCAGACUCCUACGGGAGGCAGCAGUAGGGAAUCGUCCGCAAUGGACGAAAGUCUGACGGAGCAACGCCGCGUGAGUGACGAAGGUUUUCGGAUCGUAAAACUCUGUUGUGAGGGAAGAACAAGUACCACUUAACUACUGGUACCUUGACGGUACCUCACCAGAAAGCCACGGCUAACUACGUGCCAGCCGCCGCCGUAAUAC